rfam:Desulfotomaculum australicum DSM 11792 genome assembly, contig: EJ60DRAFT_scaffold00006.6
AGGAUGGUAUCCCCGCGGGAGCCAUACCCAACCAUACUUAUUAGAACCUUAAAACCGGAUAAGCUUAUUACCGCUUGGAGCCGGGAAGGACCGAGACGGGGGU